GGGUCUUUAGCUCAUCAGGCAGAGCAUCGGGCUUUUAACCCGACGGGCAGGGUUCGAGUCCCUGAAGGCCCA
rnacentral:tRNA from 2 species